GCAUAUUAGUAGGCGGUGGAAGAUAAUCCAAAAGGGAUUCCUUCAGUAAUGGCGAAUGAACGGGGAAUAGCUCAGCAAAGAAAUCGAGGACUCCGGCCUUGAGUUGUGGACUUGAGAGGUAUCGCCAAUGGUGGCACAGGUGGGGGCCUCUUGGAAAAGGGCACCACAGAGGGUGUGAGUCCUGUUUGCCAUCUGUAGUCCGCCGUGUACGGCAUGCCUCCUCAGAGUCACGUUCCUUGGAAUUGGAGCGCGAAGGUGGUGGUGGCUUUCAUCUCAAGCUAAGUAUGGGUUCGAGACCGAUAGCAAACAAGUACCAUGAGGGAAAAUUGAAAAGAGCUUUGGAAAGAGAGUUAAAAGUGCCCGAACUUGCUGAUAGGGAAGCGAAGGGAGCUGACGUUGCUUGGUAACAUCUUCUGCGCAAGACUAGGAUGGGUUCUGAUUGCAAUGUGUGUAGUGUUUCUUGCCGUGCGUGUCGAUGCCAAGCAAUGAGUGGGGAGAGCUCCAGGGAUGUGAUUGUUUCUGUCCCCGGGUAGACGAAGGUGCCUGGUUGCAUCCAUUCGUGGGCUGAAAAAUUGGUGGCUGGUUGCAGCACUCCCUUGCCAACUAAUGCAAUUGGAGUGUAGCCCUGACAUGCAGACGAGGACAAAGUGCUUCUGUUCGACCCGUCUUGA
rnacentral:rRNA from 1 species